rnacentral:lncRNA from 1 species
UUCAAGAAAGCAGACGUAAAAUCACUACUCACCACGAGUUGUCUCCCUCUCCGUUUUGGCGGGAAAACGGCGCCACCCGUCUGCCCACUCUUCACUCUCUCCUUCGCCCUAGUGGGCAGUUGGGAGAGCAUGCAUUCAGUGUACAAGUCACUGUUCUCCACAUUUUCAACAAACCCUGGAUAUGAUAUGUCGUCAUGUAUACAAAAGUAACAAUAUAUACAAUACUAGUAAUCAUUAAUUCUAGUUUCUACUGUCUAAGAUUUACCACAUUUUCAUCCAAUUUUGGAAGGAUUUACCACUUCUAAAGUUUCAUUUGUACAAUACGGGAUGGUUCACAAGAGUCAAAAUUGAUUUGACUGUUCUUAGAAUUGAGAUUAAAACCUCUCACUUUGCUGGAUUUUGUUUUAUAGGCAUGAUGCUUUCUUUGGUUUUGUGACCCGAACCUGCAAGUUUGCUGUCACGGUUCAGCAUUUCCAAAUACUCGUCAAGUGCAAUGUUGUUAUUUUUGCCCCCUCGCAAAUUGACAAAUCGAUUAGCCACUAAACGCUCUGUUUGCUCUGCUGGUAAAGUUCCUGAAGUGAUGGCAGUUAAAUGGACUGAACCUAUCUCUUUCAUGACCUUGUUGGUUUUGUUGUACAAGGGUAGCUCGCACUUAGCUGAUCGAACAGAUCCACUGCCAUCGGCCAUGUCAACAACUCAACAGUGCCCUGACUAGAUAAUUUUUUGGCUUGAUCAUGUUUGUUUUCCCAUUUACCUUUACCUGUCCCCUCGACCUACCUUCCACUAUCCACCUGUUUCUUACCUUUUGGGCUUGAUGAGGUUUUGCUUUGCCUUUACUUUUGCCUUUCCCUUUUCCCCCUACCUGCAGGAUUUGGGGGGUGGGGCUGGGUGUUGUAAUCUGUAGGAAUUGACGCCGUGACAGGUUCCUCAACGUUUGGUGUACUACUUGCUUGCUUGAUAACACCCUCUACAAAUGCACACUCCCUAGCAGCAGUAAGGGUGUUUUUGAGCAUAGUAUUUAUGUGCUUUUUUGGCCAUGUGCAAGAUAGUCACUGGCCAUCUUAUGUUCUGCAGCAUCAUUGGGAUGCUGCCUUGCCACUUCAGUCUCCAAAGAUUUCCGAACAUCCGUAGUUGCAUAUCUCCUACUCUUGUUUUCAUCAUUGGUUUAAAGUAAACCUCUUGUCCUCUGGAAUGGGGCCAACUCGAUGGCCAUGUUUUCCAAUUUGUUGCCGUCAACUGUCCUGAAGAAAAGUGACUUUUCCGGCUGGCUGUCUUCAGUCAUGUCACCACGUAUAUACCGGCAGUAAUCCUUGAACAUGUUGUACUCCUCUUUGGUCAAGGUUAUGCUGACCAGGACCCUUGUGGAUGUUUUGUGGUCCGUGAAAGACAAUUGAUGAUUUGACUGCUGGUUGAAUUGAGAGUAAAACCUCUCACUUUUCAUGUUUCUUUGCCGGAUUUGUUUUAUAGGCAUGAUGCUUUCUUUGGUUUUGUGACCCGAAACUGCAAGUUUGCUGUCACGGUUCAGCAUUUCCAAAUACUCGUCAAGUGCAAUGUUGUUAUUUUUGCAGUCAGAAAUUAUUUUAACGACAAUAUAUUUAGUAACAGUAAAAAACACCCAAACAGGAAACGAUAUAUACAAUGCUAACAAAUAUAUACAAAAGUAACAAUAUAUACAAUGCUAUAUUCAUCAAUUCUAUUUUAUAC